rnacentral:rRNA from 1 species
UACGUAGGGGGCAAGCGUUGUCCGGAAUCAUUGGGCGUAAAGAGCGUGUAGGCGGCCCGAUAAGUCCGCUGUGAAAGUCCAGGGCUCAACCCUGGAAUGCCGGUGGAUACUGUCGGGCUCGAAUCCGGAAGAGGUGAGUGGAAUUCCACGUGUAGCGGUGAAAUGCGUAGAGAUGUGGAGGAACACCAGUGGCGAAGGCGGCUUUCUGGUCUGUAACUGACGCUGAGGCGCGAAAGCGUGGGGAGCAAACAGG